rnacentral:rRNA from 1 species
UACGGGGGGGGCAAGCGUUGUUCGGAAUUACUGGGCGUAAAGGGCUCGUAGGCGGCCAACUAAGUCAGACGUGAAAUCCCUCGGCUUAACCGGGGAACUGCGUCUGAUACUGGAUGGCUUGAGUUUGGGAGAGGGAUGCGGAAUUCCAGGUGUAGCGGUGAAAUGCGUAGAUAUCUGGAGGAACACCGGUGGCGAGGGCGGCAUCCUGGACCAACACUGACGCUGAGGAGCGAAAGCCAGGGGAGCAAACGGG